rnacentral:tRNA from 1 species
GGAGGGGUAGUUCAGUCGGUUAGAGUACCUGCCUGUCACGCAGGGGUCGCGGGUUCGAGUUCCGUCCGUUCCGCCA